AGCGAACGCUGGCGGCAUGCCUAACACAUGCAAGUCGAACGAGACCUUCGGGUCUAGUGGCGCACGGGUGCGUAACGCGUGGGAACCUGCCCUUAGGCUCGGAAUAACUCCCCGAAAGGGGUGCUAAUACCGGAUAAUGUCUUCGGACCAAAGAUUUAUCGCCUUUGGAUGGGCCCGCGUUGGAUUAGCUAGUUGGUAGGGUAAAAGCCUACCAAGGCGACGAUCCAUAGCUGGUCUGAGAGGAUGAUCAGCCACACUGGGACUGAGACACGGCCCAGACUCCUACGGGAGGCAGCAGUGGGGAAUAUUGGACAAUGGACGAAAGCCUGAUCCAGCAAUGCCGCGUGAGUGAUGAAGGCCUUAGGGUUGUAAAGCUCUUUUACCCGGGAUGAUAAUGACAGUACCGGGAGAAUAAGCUCCGGCUAACUCCGUG
rnacentral:rRNA from 1 species